rnacentral:rRNA from 1 species
CGGACGGGUGAGUAAUGCUUGGGAAUCUGGCUUAUGGAGGGGGAUAACUACGGGAAACUGUAGCUAAUACCGCGUAAUAUCUUCGGAUUAAAGGGUGGGACUUUCGGGCCACCUGCCAUAAGAUGAGCCCAAGUGGGAUUAGGUAGUUGGUGGGGUAAAGGCCUACCAAGCCGACGAUCUCUAGCUGGUCUGAGAGGAUGACCAGCCACACUGGAACUGAGACACGGUCCAGACUCCUACGGGAGGCAGCAGUGGGGAAUAUUGCACAAUGGGGGGAACCCUGAUGCAGCCAUGCCGCGUGAAUGAAGAAGGCCUUCGGGUUGUAAAGUUCUUUCGGUGAUGAGGAAGGUGUUUGUUUUAAUAGAACAAGCAAUUGACGUUAGUCACAGAAGAAGCACCGGCUAACUCCGUGCCAGCAGCCGCGGUAAUACGGAGGGUGCGAGCGUUAAUCGGAAUGACUGGGCGUAAAGGGCACGCAGGCGGUGACUUAAGUGAGAUGUGAAAGCCCCGGGCUUAACCUGGGAAUUGCAUUUCAUACUGGGUCGCUAGAGUAUUUUAGGGAGGG